rnacentral:lncRNA from 1 species
CAUUUUUUUUCAGAAGGGCUCUCAUGUCAUUACUGAUACAUUUUUAUUAAAUGAAGCAUGUGUUCCAGAUCAUUUUACCUUGGAGUUUUAAUGUAUAUAUAGUUACUACAAAAUUAAUGCUAACUAAAAAAAAUCUUUCAUCAUUAUACAUAAUGUUAUCUACGGUGAAACUUUAUAUAACUAAGAAAAUGACCAUUGAUACUUUCCCAUUUAUUGAUAUUGAGUUAAAUUAAUAUUAACUAGAAAAUAGUAUAUUCCAAGUGGUGACAUUUUUUUUCAUAAAAUAAAAUUGUUUUCUGCAUUUCAGAUAUUUUCUCAUAGCUGAUCCCUCCACUGUAACAAACCUAUAUUAUCAACACAUAUAAAUGCAUAUUUCAGAUUGGUACUUGAAAGUCAAUGGUUGGUCAUGAUGACCAUCUUUUAUUUAAUGGAGAAAGAAACCAAUAUUUGCAGCUGGACAGGUUGUCACCACAGUUCAAUGAUUUAGGUCAGACAUCAGCUUUUGAAGUUGCUUUCUUGGCACAUCAUGCUGUCCAGUGGAGUUCAUACCAUAUGCCAGGCCU